rnacentral:rRNA from 1 species
GAUGAACGCUGGCGGCGUGCCUAAUACAUGCAAGUCGAGCGAACAGACGAGGAGCUUGCUCCUCUGACGUUAGCGGCGGACGGGUGAGUAACACGUGGAUAACCUACCUAUAAGACUGGGAUAACUUCGGGAAACCGGAGCUAAUCCCGGAUAAUAUAUUGAACCGCAUGGUUCAAUAGUGAAAGACGGUUUUGCUGUCACUUAUAGAUGGAUCCGCGCCGCAUUAGCUAGUUGGUAAGGUAACGGCUUACCAAGGCGACGAUGCGUAGCCGACCUGAGAGGGUGAUCGUCCACACUGGAACUGGGACACGGUCCAGACUCCUACGGGAGGCAGCAGUAGGGAAUCUUCCGCAAUUGGCGAAAGCCUGACGGAGCAACGCCGCGUGAGUGAUGAAGGUCUUCGGAUCGUAAAACUCUGUUAUUAGGGAAGAACAAAUGUGUAAGUAACUAUGCACGUCUUGACGGUACCUAAUCAGAAAGCCACGGCUAACUACGUG